rnacentral:rRNA from 1 species
AUUGAACGCUGGCGGCAUGCUUUACACAUGCAAGUCGGACGGCAGCACAGAGAAGCUUGCUUCUUGGGUGGCGAGUGGCGAACGGGUGAGUAACAUAUCGGAACGUACCGAGCAGUGGGGGAUAACUAAUCGAAAGAUUAGCUAAUACCGCAUAUCUUCUGAGGAAGAAAGCAGGGGACCAUUUGGCCUUGCGCUGUUUGAGCGGCCGAUAUCUGAUUAGCUAGUUGGUGGGGUAAAGGCCUACCAAGGCGACGAUCAGUAGCGGGUCUGAGAGGAUGAUCCGCCACACUGGGACUGAGACACGGCCCAGACUCCUACGGGAGGCAGCAGUGGGGAAUUUUGGACAAUGGGCGCAAGCCUGAUCCAGCCAUGCCGCGUGUCUGAAGAAGGCCUUCGGGUUGUAAAGGACUUUUGUCAGGGAAGAAAAGGGCGGGGUUAAUACCCCUGUCUGAUGACGGUACCUGAAGAAUAAGCACCGGCUAACUACGUGCCAGCAGCCGCGGUAAUACGUAGGGUGCGAGCGUUAAUCGGAAUUACUGGGCGUAAAGCGGGCGCAGACGGUUACUUAAGCAGGAUGUGAAAUCCCCGGGCUCAACCUGGGAACUGCGUUCUGAACUGGGUGACUAGAGUAUGUCAGAGGGAGGUAGAAUUCCACGUGUAGCAGUGAAAUGCGUAGAGAUGUGGAGGAAUACCGAUGGCGAAGGCAGCCUCCUGGGAUAACACUGACGUUCAUGCCCGAAAGCGUGGGUAGCAAACAGG